GUAGGGUGCAAGCGUUAAUCGGAAUUACUGGGCGUAAAGCGUGCGCAGGCGGUUUUGUAAGUCUGAUGUGAAAUCCCCGGGCUCAACCUGGGAAUUGCAUUGGAGACUGCAAGGCUAGAAUCUGGCAGAGGGGGGUAGAAUUCCACGUGUAGCAGUGAAAUGCGUAGAUAUGUGGAGGAACACCGAUGGCGAAGGCAGCCCCCUGGGUCAAGAUUGACGCUCAUGCACGAAAGCGUGGGGAGCAAACAGGAUUAGAUACCCUGGUAGUCCACGCCCCUAAACGAUGUCUACUAGUUGUCGGGUCUUAAUUGACUUGGUAACGCAGCUAACGCGUGAAGUAGACCGCCUGGGGAUACGGUCGCAAGAUUA
rnacentral:rRNA from 1 species